UCCCCCCUUUUUUUUUCAAAACAUCGCCUCUUGAAACCUAAAAUAUAAGAGGUCCCGCCUGCCCUGUGACUAUAAGUUUAACGGCCGCGGUAUUUUGACCGUGCAAAGGUAGCGCAAUCACUUGUCUUUUAAAUGAAGACCUGUAUGAAUGGCAUAACGAGGGCUUAACUGUCUCCUUUUUCCAGUCAAUGAAAUUGAUCCCCCCGUGCAGAAGCGGGGAUACUUCCAUAAGACGAGAAGACCCUAUGGAGCUUUAGACACCAGAACAGACCAUGUUAAACAUCCUUAAAUAAAAGACAAAACUAAUUGGCCCCUGCUCAAAUGUCUUUGGUUGGGGCGACCGCGGGGAAAUAAAAAACCCCCAUGUGGACCGGGAGCACACUACUCCUACAGCCCAGAGUUACAACUCCAAGUAACAGAAUCUCUGACCUACAAGAUCCGGCAUAGCAGCCGAUCAACGGACCGAGUUACCCUAGGGAUAACAGCGCAAUCUUCUUUUAGAGCCCAUAUCGACAAGAGGGUUUACGACCUCGAUGUUGGAUCAGGACAUCCUAAUGGUGCAGCCGCUAUAAGGGUUCCGUCGCCUGAUCUCGGC
rnacentral:rRNA from 1 species